rnacentral:rRNA from 1 species
AGGACGAACGCUGGCGGCGUGCUUAACACAUGCAAGUCGAGCGGUAAGGCCCUUUCGGGGGUACACGAGCGGCGAACGGGCGAGUAACACGUGGGUGACCUGCCCUUAGCUCUGGGAUAAGCCUGGGAAACUGGGUCUAAUACCGGAUAUGACCUCAUGACGCAUGUUGUGGGGUGGAAAGCCUUGUGCGGCUAGGGAUGGGCCCGCGGCCUAUCAGCUUGUUGGUGGGGUGAUGGCCUACCAAGGCGACGACGGGUAGCCGGCCUGAGAGGGCGACCGGCCACGACUGGGACUGAGACACGGCCCAGACUCCUACGGGAGGCAGCAGUGGGGAAUCUUGCGCAACGGGCGAAAGCCUGACGCAGCGACGCCGCGUGAGGGAUGACGGCCUUCGGGUUGUAAACCUCUUUCAGCCCUGACGAAGCGAAAGUGACGGUAGGGCGAGAAGAAGCACCGGCCAACUACGUGCCAGCAGCCGC